rnacentral:rRNA from 1 species
CCCUACGGGGUGCACCUUCCAAUAGCAACUCUGACGAGAUGUUAGUGGCUGACCUGUAUAUUCGAUUUGGGAAGUUGCGUCUGAAGCAACCUUGCCGCUGUCCCAUAGGUCGCCAUGAUCCCGCUGCAGUAACUUCGGCGUGGACGCGACCAGCACCUGAUACGCCGUCUGCUUUUCGCCGCGCUGGCCCGAGUCCAGAAUCCAGCUCAAACGCGGGCGGGACGCAUCAAUACCAAGCGGGUUUACGAGGUAUUCACAGCGGAGAUAUUUGGUUUCAACUCCGGCAAAACAGACUCCUGCUAACAGCAGGAAUGCCGGGACGAUGCCUUUCAAGAUAAGUUUCAUACGAAUAAUUCGGCCCUCCUGAAUGUGUUUUUAUGGAUCUUUCGACACAAGCCUAAAUCUCAUAUGAAUUCCUCAGGGUGUGGCGGGGGGGC